UCCCUAGUGAUCCAGUAGUUAAGACUCUGCACUUCCAAUGCAAGGGGCCCAGGUUUGAUCCCUGGUCAGGGAA
rnacentral:tRNA from 1 species